GUUAUAAAGACUAAAGGGUUGGUCGUCGUUUGCAGAGGUGGAAUAGCCAUGGCUGGGUUGGGUUCCUCAAGCUCGGAGAUGGAUCUCGACCGCCUCAACAUCGAGGAGUACCUCACCGUGGAAUCGAUCCGGGAGUCCCCCAGGAAGCUCCAUUUGAGGGACCUUCUCGACAUUUCCCCUACGCUUAAAGAAGCUGCCGGUGCCAUUGUUGAUGACUCCUUCACCCGCUGCUUUAAAUCAAAUCCUCCAGAACCCUGGAAUUGGAAUGUCUAUUUGUUCCCUCUAUGGUGCUUGGGAGUAGUUAUUAGAUAUGGGAUUCUUUUUCCAUUAAGAGUUACAAUCUUGGCUGCAGGAUGGAUAGUAUUUUUCUCAGCCUUUUUGCCGGUGCAUUUCCUUUUAGGAGAUCAUAAUAAGUUGCGGCAAAAAGUAGAGAGGAAACUGGUUGAGAUGAUAUGCAGUGUGUUUGUUGCCUCAUGGACAGGAGUGAUCAAAUACCAUGGUCCUCGUCCCAGCAUACGACCUCAACAGGUAUUUGUUGCCAACCACACUUCUAUGAUUGACUUCAUCAUCUUAGAACAAAUGACAGCAUUUGCUGUUAUCAUGCAAAAACAUCCUGGUUGGGUUGGAUUUAUCCAGAAGACCAUUUUAGAAAGUGUAGGCUGUAUUUGGUUUAACCGUACAGAAUCCAAGGACCGGGAAAUUGUUGCCAGAAAGUUAAGAGAACAUACACAAGGAGUUGACAAGAAUCCUGUUCUGAUAUUUCCUGAAGGAACUUGUGUAAACAAUCAUUACACUGUUAUGUUCAAGAAGGGUGCUUUUGAACUUGGUUGUGCUGUUUGCCCUGUAGCAAUAAAGUACAACAAGAUUUUUGUGGAUGCUUUCUGGAACAGUAAAAAACAAUCUUUUACAAUGCACUUAGUACAGCUUAUGACAUCAUGGGCUGUAGUUUGUGAUGUAUGGUACCUGGAACCUCAGUAUAUAAGAUCUGGAGAGACACCUAUUGAGUUUGCUGAAAGGGUUCGAGACAUGAUCUCUGUUCGGGCUGGUCUUAAAAAGGUCCCUUGGGAUGGUUAUUUGAAAUACUUCCGCCCCAGUCCCAAGCUUAUAGAACGGAAGCAACAAAUCUUUGCAGAGUCAGUCUUGCAGCGAUUGGAGGAAAAAUGAAAAGCUUUCUUUGUUUCUCUCCGAGCUUCUAUAUUGAGGCUUUCUUCUUUGGUAGAUUUCAAAUUUCAUCAGAUACAAGCAAGUAGUAUCUUUGAAUGGAGCUUAUUUGAGAGGGCCGGCAUUUAGUAUUCUGAAUAAUAUAAAAGGGAAUCAUGACCUUGUGAUAGCCGCUGUUAUUGGUUGGUAUGAUUUAUGGAAUCAUCCAUCAGUUUUGUUUUAAAUCUGGGUUUGCAGGAGUCCUAUUUCCUUCGGAGUCUUUGCUUAAAUUUUCAAGUCAAAUCUGAUACCAGAUCAGAGGCGACUUCUCUGAAACUUAAGGAGCAACUCAUUCAAGUUGGUUGAUUUGGUUCAGAAAGAAGGAAAGAAGAAGAAAAAAAGGGCUGUGGUAAUAUGCACAAGAAAAAUCCAUACUGCGAGUUACGUGAUCUCCAUUCUUUCAUGCGGCGGGUGGUCCCUGACGUUAAGAUUCUUUGAAUUGUCAACAAGAAUGCAGUUGGGAUGUCUGCUUGAGGCAGCCUCAAAUUCAUGUGUUUAAGAAUCACAAAAACCAAAUCACAAGAACCCCUUCCUUUGUGCCA